rnacentral:rRNA from 1 species
GAUGAACGCUGGCGGCGUGCUUAACACACGCCAGUCGAACGAAGCACUUUAUUUGAUUUCCUUCGGGACUGAUUAUUUUGUGACUGAGUGGCGGACGGGUGAGUAACGCGUGGGUAACCUGCCUUGUACAGGGGGAUAACAGUUGGAAACGGCUGCUAAUACCGCAUAAGCGCACAGCAUCGCAUGAUGCAGUGUGAAAAACUCCGGUGGUAUAAGAUGGACCCGCGUUGGAUUAGCUAGUUGGUGAGGUAACGGCCCACCAAGGCGACGAUCCAUAGCCGACCUGAUAGGGUGACCGGCCACAUUGGGACUGAGACACGGCCCAAACUCCUACGGGAGGCAGCAGUGGGGAAUAUUGCACAAUGGGCGAAAGCCUGAUGCAGCGACGCCGCGUGAGCGAAGAAGUAUUUCGGUAUGUAAAGCUCUAUCAGCAGGGAAGAUAAUGACGUUACCUGACUAAGAAGCACCGGCUAAAUACGUG